rnacentral:rRNA from 1 species
GGAAUAUUGCACAAUGGGGGAAACCCUGAUGCAGCGACGCCGCGUGAGUGAAGAAGUAUUUCGGUAUGUAAAGCUCUAUCAGCAGGGAAGAAAGAAGACGUUACCUGAGUAAGAAGCCCCGGCUAACUACGUGCCAGCAGCCGCGGUAAUACGUAGGGGGCAAGCGUUAUCCGGAUUUACUGGGUGUAAAGGGAGCGUAGACGGCAGCGCAAGUCUGGAGUGAAAUCCCAUGGCUUAACCAUGGAACUGCUUUGGAAACUGUUAAGCUGGAGUACAGGAGAGGUAAGCGGAAUUCCUAGUGUAGCGGUGAAAUGCGUAGAUAUUAGGAGGAACACCAGUGGCGAAGGCGGCUUACUGGACUGUAACUGACGUUGAGGCUCGAAAGCGUGGGGAGCAAAC